rnacentral:rRNA from 1 species
UACGAAGGGGGCUAGCGUUGCUUCGGAAUCACUGGGCGUAAAGCGCACGUAGGCGGAUCUUUAAGUCAGGGGUGAAAUCCCAAGGCUCAACCUUGGAACUGCCUUUGAUACUGGGGAUCUCGAGUCCGGAAGGAGGUGAGGUAGGAACUGCGAGUGUAGGAGGUGAAAAUUCGUAGAUAUUCGCAAGAACACCAGUGGCGAAGGCGGCUCACUGGUCCGGUACUGACGCUGAGGUGCGAAAGCGUGGGGAGCAAACAGG